UAGGGAAUCUUCCGCAAUGGACGCAAGUCUGACGGAGCAACGCCGCGUGAGUGAAGAAGGAUUUCGGUUCGUAAAACUCUGUUGUUAGAGAAGAACAGCGCAUAGAGUAACUGUUAUGCGUGUGACGGUAUCUAACCAGAAAGCCACGGCUAACUACGUGCCAGCAGCCGCGGUAAUACGUAGGUGGCAAGCGUUGUCCGGAUUUAUUGGGCGUAAAGCGAGCGCAGGCGGUCAAUUAAGUCUGAUGUGAAAGCCCCCGGCUCAACCGGGGAGGGUCAUUGGAAACUGGUUGACUUGAGUGCAGAAGAGGAGAGUGGAAUUCCAUGUGUAGCGGUGAAAUGCGUGGAUAUAUGGAGGAACACCAGUGGCGAAGGCGACUCUCUGGUCUGUAACUGACGCUGAGGCUCGAAAGCGUGGGUAGCAAACAGG
rnacentral:rRNA from 1 species